GACGAACGCUGGCGGCGUGCUUAACACAUGCAAGUCGAGCGGUAAGGCCCUUCGGGGUACACGAGCGGCGGACGGCUGAGUAACGCGUAGGAACGUACCCCAAAGUGAGGGAUAAGCACCAGAAAUGGUGUCUAAUACCGCAUGUGCUCUAAGGAGUAAAGCUUCGGCGCUUUGGGAACGGCCUGCGUCUGAUUAGCUUGUUGGUGAGGUAAAAGCUCACCAAGGCGACGAUCAGUAGCUGGUCUGAGAGGAUGAUCAGCCAGACUGGGACUGAGAA
rnacentral:rRNA from 1 species